rnacentral:rRNA from 1 species
UACGUAGGGCGCAAGCGUUGUCCGGAAUUAUUGGGCGUAAAGAGCUCGUAGGCGGCCUGUGCGUCCGCUGUGAAAUCCCGGGGCUCAACCCCGGGCGUGCAGUGGAUACGGGCUGGCUGGAGGCAGGCAGGGGAGAACGGAAUUCCUGGUGUAGCGGUGAAAUGCGCAGAUAUCAGGAGGAACACCGGUGGCGAAGGCGGCCAUCUGGCUCGGUGACUGACGCUCAGGUUCGAAAGCGUGGGGAGCAACAG